rnacentral:rRNA from 1 species
CAGCAGCCACGGGAAUACGAAGGGUGCAAGCGUUAAUCGGAAUUACUGGGCGUAAAGCGCGCGUAGGUGGUUUGGUAAGAUGGAUGUGAAAUCCCCGGGCUCAACCUGGGAACUGCAUCCAUAACUGCCUGACUAGAGUACGGUAGAGGGUGGUGGAAUUUCCUGUGUAGCGGUGAAAUGCGUAGAUAUAGGAAGGAACACCAGUGGCGAAGGCGACCACCUGGACUGAUACUGACACUGAGGUGCGAAAGCGUGGGGAGCAAACAGGAUUAGAUACCCCCGUAGUCCCUGUCUCUUAUAA